GACCCACUUUUCACUUUGCCAAUUGGACUUAUGGCUUUAUUGGUCAUUCAUGUGGGACAAAGGAAAUAUCCUUUUAAAACUCAAGAAAACCGGGUGCUUGUCUUGUAUCCUGUCAGAGGAAACAAAU
ensembl:snoRNA